UAAUUGUUAUGCUUUUCGUGAAUGUUUAUCGUGAGUAAUUUAGUACAUUUUUUGUAAAUUCACCGGAAGUUUGCGGGGGUAUGCUAGUUCUGAACGUCACAUGCUAAUGUAAAAAGCUGGUUUUUGAUAUAAAUAUGAACUUGAUUGAACAAAACAUGCAUGUAUUGUAUAACAUAAUGUCCUAGGUGUGUCAUCUGAUGAAGAUCAUCAAAGGUUAGUGUUGCAUUUAGCUGUCUUCUGGGUUUUUGUGACAUUAUAUGCUAGCUUGAAAAAUGGGUGUCUGAUAAUUUCUGGCUGGGUACUCUGCUGACAUAAUCUAAUGUUUUGCUUUCGUUGUAAAGCCUUUUUGAAAUCGGACAGUGUGGUUAGAUUAACGAGAGUCUUGUCUUUAAAAUGGUGUAAAAUAGUCAUAUGUUUGAGAAAUUGAAGUAAUAGCAUUUCUAAGGUAUUUGAAUAGCGCGCCACAGGAUUCCACUGGCUGUUACGUAGGUGGGACGAUUUCAUCCCACUGGCCCUAGAGAAGUUAUGUCAGUAGUCUAGUGUGAGGGGUUAUGUCAGUAGUCCAGUGUAAAGGGUUAUGUCAGUAGUCUAGUAUGAGGGGUUAUGUAGUAGUCUAGUGUGAGGGGUUAUGUCAGUAGUCUAGUGUGAGGGGUUAUGUCAGUAGUCUAGUGUGAGGGGUUGUGUCAGGAGAAACAGUGUUGCAGUAGUCUAGUGUAAGGGGUUAUGUCAGUAGUCUAGUGUCAGUGGUUAUGUCAGUAGUCUAGUGUGAGGGAUUAUGUCAGGGGGAACCAGUGUUGCAGUAGUCUAGUGUGAGGGGUUACGUCAGUAGUCUAGUGUGAGGGGUUAUGUCAGUAGUCUAGUGUGAGGGGUUAUGUAGUUGUCUAGUGUGAGGGGUUAUGUCAGUAGUCUAGUGUGAGGGGUUAUGUCAGGGGGAACCAGUGUUGCAGUAGUCUAGUGUGAGGGGUUACGUCAGUAGUCUAGUGUGAGGGGUUAUGUCAGUAGUCUAGUGUGAGGGGUUAUGUAGUUGUCUAGUGUGAGGGGUUAUGUCAGUAGUCUAGUGUGAGGGGUUAUGUCA
rnacentral:lncRNA from 1 species